rnacentral:tRNA from 1 species
GUCGGUAGCUCAGUCGGUAGAGCAGCGGACUUUUAAUCCGUUGGUCGCGAGUUCGAAUCUCGCCCGACC